GACGAACGCUGUCGGCGUGCUUAACACCUGCAAGUCGAACGGAAAGGCCCUGCUUUUGUGGGGUGCUCGAGUGGCGAACGGGUGAGUAGCACGUGAGUAACCUGCCCUUGACUUUGGGAUAACUUCAGGAAACUGGGGCUAAUACCGGAUAGGAGCUCCUGCUGCAUGGUGGGGGUUGGAAAGUUUCGGCGGUUGGGGAUGGACUCGCGGCUUAUCAGCUUGUUGGUGGGGUAGUGGCUUACCAAGGCUUUGACGGGUAGCCGGCCUGAGAGGGUGACCGGCCACAUUGGGACUGAGAUACGGCCCAGACUCCUACGGGAGGCAGCAGUGGGGAAUAUUGCACAAUGGGCGGAAGCCUGAUGCAGCAACGCCGCGUGCGGGAUGACGGCCUUCGGGUUGUAAACCGCUUUCGCCUGUGACGAAGCGUGAGUGACGGUAAUGGGUAAAGAAGCACCGGCUAACUACGUGCCAGCAGCCGCGGUGAUACGUAGGGUGCGAGCGUUGUCCGGAUUUAUUGGGCGUAAAGGGCUCGUAGGUGGUUGAUCGCGUCGGAAGUGUAAUCUUGGGGCUUAACCCUGAGCGUGCUUUCGAUACGGGUUGACUUGAGGAAGGUAGGGGAGAAUGGAAUUCCUGGUGGAGCGGUGGAAUGCGCAGAUAUCAGGAGGAACACCAGUGGCGAAGGCGGUUCUCUGGGCCUUUCCUGACGCUGAGGAGCGAAAGCGUGGGGAGCGAACAGGCUUAGAUACCCUGGUAGUCCACGCUGUAAACGGUGGGUACUAGGUGUGGGGUCCAUUCCACGGGUUCCGUGCCGUAGCUAACGCUUUAAGUACCCCGCCUGGGGAGUACGGCCGCAAGGCUAAAACUCAAAGGAAUUGACGGGGCCCCGCACAAGCGGCGGAGCAUGCGGAUUAAUUCGAUGCAACGCGUAGAACCUUACCUGGGUUUGACAUGGAUCGGGAGUGCUCAGAGAUGGGUGUGCCUCUUUUGGGGUCGGUUCACAGGUGGUGCAUGGCUGUCGUCAGCUCGUGUCGUGAGAUGUUGGGUUAAGUCCCGCAACGAGCGCAACCCUUGUUCACUGUUGCCAGCACGUUAUGGUGGGGACUCAGUGGAGACCGCCGGGGUCAACUCGGAGGAAGGUGGGGAUGACGUCAAGUCAUCAUGCCCCUUAUGUCCAGGGCUUCACGCAUGCUACAAUGGCUGGUACAGAGAGUGGCGAGCCUGUGAGGGUGAGCGAAUCUCGGAAAGCCGGUCUCAGUUCGGAUUGGGGUCUGCAACUCGACCUCAUGAAGUCGGAGUCGCUAGUAAUCGCAGAUCAGCAACGCUGCGGUGAAUACGUUCCCGGG
rnacentral:rRNA from 1 species